rnacentral:rRNA from 1 species
AUGGGUCCCUUCACGUCAACUCGGCGUAAUACCAUUACCCUCCUGUGGGAUGGCGAGACGCUCCUCCAGCGGCCCGCUGACAUUCGUGCCCAUGUUGACGGCUUCUAUCGCGACUUGUUUGCAUCUCCCCCCUAGGGGGGCUUAGCUCUUGCACCACACUUCUGGGUCAGACCGCAGUGUGUCUCGGCCGCAGACAAUGCGGUCCUCACGGCCCCGUUCUUUGAGGAGGAAGUGUGGCUGGCGAUUAAAGGGAUGAACCCAUCAUCCGCCCCGGGUCCUGACGGCUUGCCGGUUAAGUUCUUUCAGACCUUCUGGCCCGCCAUCAAACAGGAGAUCAUGGCCAUAUUCGGGGAGUUUUAUGUCAGUUCUAUCGACCUCAAGCGCCUCAACUACGGGAUUAUCACUCUGAUUCCCAAGGUCCCGGGCCUCCUACAUCCGCAGUUCCGUCCUAUCACGGUGAUCAAUGUGAUCUUCCGCAUUCUUGCCAAGGGGUACGCCAAUAGGGUGGCCCCUUUAGCUGACCGAAUAACCCACCCGGAUCAAUCCGCCUUCAUUCAGGGCCGAUAUAUCUUGGAUGGGGUCCUGGUCUUCCACGAAGUCCUGCAUGAGGUGCGAUCCAAAAACCUCAAGGCGGUUUUCCUGAAGAUCGAUUUCCAUAAGGCGUACGACACGGUUAGUUGGCCCUUCCUUCGGGAAGUGCUGCUUAGAAAAGGGUUCGAUGAUCGCUGGGUAUCCUGGGUCAUGCAGAUGGUGUCUUCGGGUCGUACCGCGGUGAACAUCAAUGGGGAGAUCGGGCCCUACUUCCCCACCUUGUGGGGUUAG